AAAGGGCGACGACCUGUAUCCAGUCAGGAGCUUUUCACAGGUGCUGCAUGGCUGUCGUCAGCUCGUGCCGUGAGGUGUUGGGUUAAGUCCCCGCAACGAGCGCAACCCUCGUGCUAUGUUGAUUUCUCAUAGCCAGACUGCCUUGUACAGCAAGGAGGAAGGUGGGGAUGACGUCAAGUCAGCAUGGCCUUUAUGCCCUGGGCUACACACACGCUACAAUGGGUGGGAACAGAGGGUUGCCACGAAGCAAUUCGGAGCGAAUCCCUUAAAACCAUCCUCAGUUCGGAUUGCAGGCUGCAAUCGCCUGCAUGAAGCCGGAGCUGCUAGUAACCGCAGGUCAGCUAUACUGCGGUGAACUACGUUCUCGGGCCUU
rnacentral:rRNA from 1 species